rnacentral:rRNA from 1 species
UACAGAGGAUGCAAGCGUUGUUCGGAAUUACUGGGCGUAAAGGGCUCGUAGGCGGCCAACUAAGUCCGACGUGAAAUCCCCAGGCUUAACCUGGGAACUGCGUCGGAUACUGGAUGGCUUGAAUUCGGGAGAGGGAUGCAGAAUUCCAGGUGUAGCGGUGAAAUGCGUAGAUAUCUGGAGGAAUACCGGUGGCGAAGGCGGCAUCCUGGACCGACAUUGACGCUGAGGAGCGAAAGCUAGGGGAGCAAACGGG